UCCUCCGAUUUCCGUUCGAUUGUUUGGGUUUUGUGGUUUUUGUUUUCUUUGCUCUCUAUCUCCCUAUUACCUCUGUUGGUUUCUGUUGUUGUUGAUCUUUGUUCUCUCAUGUUCUAUUUGAACACAGAAAAACAACCACACAGGCCUUGGCCUUUUGCAUUGAGUAUUUUGCUAUUCUUUUUGGUGAUGUAGUUGUUUGAUAUGAUUUCAUUUUUUUUCUUCAGGAAACGUUGCUGAUUGAAUUUUAGGGGUUUUGUAUAGAAGUUUGCAUGCCCGUUCUGAUUAAGCAUGCCAGAGAUGAUUUAAAACAUUUUAUGGUGGACAAUCAAUUGGAAACAACUUCAAAUGGGAAGUUUUCGCAAGGGACGCAUGCAAGUGGGGUUAUGCCUGAUGCUGAUGGAGAAUGCUUUUUGGAAUUCCAUUAAGGGAAAUUUUGGGUCUUAUUGAAGAAAUUUUAAACCCAGAAAGCUUGGGUUUCGUGGUGGACUAUGCCAUUUGAGAAACUAUGAUAUUCUACUCAAACGCUCUCAACGAAUACCCGCUAUCUCCCUCUCUCUCAUGAUAAUUGAUGCGGAGUACCAGACCCAGAGAAGUUGAGAAUCUAGACCUCCCAAACUUGGUCUCCCUUCUCGGCUGUGGAGUAUCAACCGGUACACUUGAACUUCCCAAAUUAUGUUGAAAUAUUUGAGAAAUGUAGAGUAAACAAAAGAGAAAAGGAAUUUUAGAGAGAGUGAUAUAAUAGUUGCUCUGUAAUUGUAAGAAUGAAUUAACUAUUCAACAGAGAGAGAGUUAACAAUUUAUACAACAACUAAUCACCUUGCUUGGCUCU